rnacentral:rRNA from 1 species
UUCAGGGGUAAACCUGAGAAACCCGAAAGGUCGAAAGGGGAGAUUCAGCGUGUCUCGAUCGUAGCGCUGGACGGUCGUGCGACGGACGGCGUACGCGUCGUCCGCGCCUUUCGUUCUCCGAACUUCGGUCGAACGCGUGCACUUCUCCUCCUGUAGGACGUCGCGAUUCGUUGGGUGCCGGUCUAAGGCCCGAGGUGGAGUCCGUCAGGACGUUUCGGCGUUCCUGGCGAACCCUUGGUGUUUCCCGGUCGGCUCGCUCGACGAUAUACAGAUGGCGCGAGGCCGCUAUUCAGUUAGCGUUCGACCUUUGGCAAGCGCGUCCGUCGUGACGGUGAUCGGACCUGGUGCCGGUCCCGUCCCCGGAUGGCUGUUCGCUGAGGUGUUCUCGAACAGACCUCGUUGAAACGCCGAUCUGCGACGCUAUAGCUUUGGGUACUUUCAGGACCCGUCUUG